AUUGAACGCUGGCGGCAUGCCUUACACAUGCAAGUCGAACGGUAACAGGUCUUCGGAUGCUGACGAGUGGCGAACGGGUGAGUAAUACAUCGGAACGUGCCUAGUAGUGGGGGAUAACUACUCGAAAGAGUGGCUAAUACCGCAUGAGAUCUACGGAUGAAAGCAGGGGAUCGCAAGACCUUGUGCUACUAGAGCGGCCGAUGGCAGAUUAGGUAGUUGGUGGGAUAAAAGCUUACCAAGCCGACGAUCUGGAGCUGGUCUGAGAGGACGAUCAGCCACGCUGGGACUGAGCCACGUCCCAGACUCCUACGGGAGGCAGCAGUGGGGAAUGUGGGACAAUGGGCGCAAGCCUGAUCCAGCAAUGCCGCGUGCAGGAUGAAGGCCUUCGUGUUGUAAACUGCUUUUGUACGGAACGAAAAGCCCUGGGUUAAUACCCUGGGGUCAUGACGGUACCGUAAGAAUAAGCACCGGCUAACUACGUGCCAGCCGCCGCCGUAAGAC
rnacentral:rRNA from 1 species